UUACAGUGAAAUGCUGAAUACAACAGGUGUAGUAGACCUCACAGUGAAAUGCUAAAUACAACAGGUGUAGUAGACCUUACAGUGAAAUGCUGAAUACAACAGGUGUAGUAGACCUCACAGUGAAAUGCUGAAUACAACAGGUGUAGUAGACCUCACAGUGAAAUGCUGAAUACAACAGGUGUAGUAGACCUCACAGUGAAAUGCUGAAUACAACAGGUGUAGUAGACCUCACAGUGAAAUGCUGAAUACAACAGGUGUAGUAGACCUCACAGUGAAAUGCUGAAUACAACAGGUGUAGUAGACCUUACAGUGAAAUGCUGAAUACAACAGGUGUAGUAGACCUCACAGUGAAAUGCUGAAUACAACAGGUGUAGUAGACCUCACAGUGAAAUGCUGAAUACAACAGGUGUAGUAGACCUUACAGUGAAAUGCUGAAUACAAAAGGUGUAGUAGACCUCACAGUGAAAUGCUGAAUACAACAGGUGUAGUAGACCUUACAGUGAAAUGCUGAAUACAACAGGUGUAGUAGACCUCACAGUGAAAUGCUGAAUACAACAGGUGUAGUAGACCUUACAGUGAAAUGCUGAAUACAACAGGUGUAGUAGACCUCACAGUGAAAUGCUGAAUACAACAGGUGUAGUAGACCUUACAGUGAAAUGCUGAAUACAACAGGUGUAGUAGACCUCACAGUGAAAUGCUGAAUACAACAGGUGUAGUAGACCUCACAGUGAAAUGCUGAAUACAACAGGUGUAGUAGACCUCACAGUGAAAUGCUGAAUACAACAGGUGUAGUAGACCUCACAGUGAAAUGCUGAAUACAACAGGUGUAGUAGACCUCACAGUGAAAUGCUGAAUACAACAGGUGUAGUAGACCUCACAGUGAAAUGCUGAAUACAACAGGUGUAGUAGACCUUACAGUGAAAUGCUGAAUACUACAGGUGUAGUAGACCUCACAGUGAAAUGCUGAAUACAACAGGUGUAGUAGACCUCACAGUGAAAUGCUGAAUACAACAGGUGUAGUAGACCUCACAGUGAAAUGCUGAAUACAACAGGUGUAGUAGACCUCACAGUGAAAUGCUGAAUACAACAGGUGUAGUAGACCUCACAGUGAAAUGCUGAAUACAACAGGUGUAGUAGACCUCACAGUGAAAUGCUGAUUACAACAGGUGUAGUAGACCUCACAGUGAAAUGCUGAAUACAACAGCUGUAGUAGACCUUACAGUGAAAUGCUGAAUACAACAGGUGUAGUAGACCUCACAGUGAAAUGCUGAAUACAACAGGUGUAGUAGACCUCACAGUGAAAUGCUGAAUACAACAGGUGUAGUAGACCUUACAGUGAAAUGCUGAAUACAACAGGUGUAGUAGACCUUACAGUGAAAUGCUGAAUACAACAGGUGUAGUAGACCUCACAGUGAAAUGCUGAAUACAACAGGUGUAGUAGACCUCACAGUGAAAUGCUGAAUACAACAGGUGUAGUAGACCUUACAGUGAAAUGCUGAAUACAACAGGUGUAGUAGACCUUACAGUGAAAUGCUGAAUACAACAGGUGUAGUAGACCUCACAGUGAAAUGCUGAAUACAACAGGUGUAGUAGACCUCACAGUGAAAUGCUGAAUACAACAGGUGUAGUAGACCUUACAGUGAAAUGCUGAAUACAACAGGUGUAGUAGACCUUACAGUGAAAUGCUGAAUACAACAGGUGUAGUAGACCUUACAGUGAAAUGCUGAAUACAACAGGUGUAGUAGACCUUACAGUGAAAUGCUGAAUACAACAGGUGUAGUAGACCUAACAGUGAAAUGCUGAAUACAACAGGUGUAGUAGACCUUACAGUGAAAUGCUGAAUACAACAGGUGUAGUAGACCUUACAGUGAAAUGCUGAAUACAACAGGUGUAGUAGACCUUACAGUGAAAUGCUGAAUACAACAGGUGUAGUAGACCUUACAGUGAAAUGCUGAAUACAACAGGUGUAGUAGACCUCACAGUGAAAUGCUGAAUACAACAGGUGUAGUAGACCUUACAGUGAAAUGCUGAAUACAACAGGUGUAGUAGACCUUAAAGUGAAAUGCUGAAUACAACAGGUGUAGUAGACCUUACAGUGAAAUGCUGAAUACAACAGGUGUAGUAGACCUCACAGUGAAAUGCUGAAUACAACAGGUGUAGUAGACCUUACAGUGAAAUGCUGAAUACAACAGGUGUAGUAGACCUUACAGUGAAAUGCUGAAUACAACAGGUGUAGUAGACCUUACAGUGAAAUGCUGAAUACAACAGGUGUAGUAGACCUUACAGUGAAAUGCUGAAUACAACAGGUGUAGUAGACCUUACAGUGAAAUGCUGAAUACAACAGGUGUAGUAGACCUUACAGUGAAAUGCUGAAUACAACAGGUGUAGUAGACCUCACAGUGAAAUGCUGAAUACAACAGGUGUAGUAGACCUUACAGUGAAAUGCUGAAUACAACAGGUGUAGUAGACCUCACAGUGAAAUGCUGAAUACAACAGGUGUAGUAGACCUUACAGUGAAAUGCUGAAUACAACAGGUGUAGGUAGACCUUACAGUGAAAUGCUGAAUACAACAGGUGUAGUAGACCUUACAGUGAAAA